CCUAGCAGUCGAUGAUAUUGUCCUGUCACAGCAGUACUUUUUGCCUAGUUUACUGUUGUUUCGGGACAUUUCCAUCGACGCUAGGGUUUUCAU
rnacentral:pre_miRNA from 1 species